rnacentral:rRNA from 1 species
UAGAACGCCUUCUUUCCUCCCGAGUGCUUGCACUCAAUUGGGAAAAGAGGAAGUGGCGGACGGGUGAGUAACACGUGGGUAACCUACCCAUCAGAGGGGGAUAACACUUGGAAACAGGUGCUAAUACCGCAUAACAGUUUAUGCCGCAUGGCAUAAGAGUGAAAGGCGCUUUCGGGUGUCGCUGAUGGAUGGACCCGCGGUGCAUUAGCUAGUUGGUGAGGUAACGGCUCACCAAGGCCACGAUGCAUAGCCGACCUGAGAGGGUGAUCGGCCACACUGGGACUGAGACACGGCCCAGACUCCUACGGGAGGCAGCAGUAGGGAAUCUUCGGCAAUGGACGAAAGUCUGACCGAGCAACGCCGCGUGAGUGAAGAAGGUUUUCGGAUCGUAAAACUCUGUUGUUAGAGAAGAACAAGGACGUUAGUAACUGAACGUCCCCUGACGGUAUCUAACCAGAAAGCCACGGCUAACUACGUGCCAGCAGCCGCGGUAAUACGUAGGUGGCAAGCGUUGUCCGGAUUUAUUGGGCGUAAAGCGAGCGCAGGCGGUUUCUUAAGUCUGAUGUGAAAGCCCCCGGCUCAACCGGGGAGGGUCAUUGG